UCAAAAGACAGAGGCGGAGGAAACGAUAAAGGUUGUGUCAGUGACACUGGAGCUCAAGUGGAAACGCUUUCAAGAAUCUCAAAAAUUUUCUCUCAGACAUGUUUUCUGUGAUGGAUGUGGAUGUGCAAUUCAACAUCGGCUACAGCUCAAAGGGUCAGAUGCACGCGGCGAUGGCUGAGGAUGUUUCCCCACGGGACUCUGCGAUCAGAUGCUAGACUUACAUUAUAGCACGCUUUCUGUCAUCUAAGAUACCCUAGAAGAUGCAUUUGACGGUGUCUUUGGGGGCCAUGGUGUAUCAGAUGAAGAUAGGAGACAUAAAUCAUCUCAAGGAAUGUAUCACCAACACCAUCACAAGCAUAACUUCAACUGUGCUAAUGCUAGUUCAUCAACAGUGGAAAACACGUGUUAUUGUGUUUUCGAAACAAUUGUAAUCAUAUAGAGUACAUUAUAUAAAUAAAAAUGAUUGUUCAACAUAAAAUGUUUAUUUUUCCUAUGUGUGGAAACUUAUUGUCCACCGUGUUGUAGAAAAAUGUUUUAAAUUCCCCUCAUCUCUGAGAAAAACCAUUUGAAGCUGCAGCGUUGUCUAAGAUCUGAAAAUGUCUCUGAUUUUAAAUUCAACAGCCGUCUUCCAUCUAAGACCACU